UGGGUAAUCCAAGCCUCGGCAGGUACAGUUCCUCCCUCAGUGGCACCCGAGCUCUGUGAGGGCAAGACUUUGUUCGGUUGUGGGCUAUGCCCCCAACCCCUCGGACAGUGCCUGCACAGGUGGACAUUUUUGUUGGAUGAAGGAUUUUCUGUUAAAUGUGUCUGGCACACACAGAAAAACAAAGCCCAGCAGAUGCCGUUCCAUUGUUUGCUGACUUUCAUUGAUUCUAUGAGAAGUCUGCAGUCUUUUGCAGCGUUGUUUUCCUAUGUAUAAUUGUCUCCUCCCACCCCACUCACCCCAGCUGCUUUCCACAUUCUCUCUCUUUGAUUUUCAGCAGUCUGCCCAUGAUGUGCCUAAAUAGGACUUUCUUUGCAUUCAUCUUGGCUGGGGCUCACUGAACUUUCUGAAUCUGUAGAUUAAUUUUCUUUUUUCAAUAAACCUUGG
rnacentral:lncRNA from 1 species